GAUGAACGCUGGCGGUGUGCCUAAUACAUGCAAGUCGAGCGAACAGGCGAGGAGCUUACUCCUCUGACGUUAGCGGCGGACGGGUGAGUAACACGUGGAUAACCUACCUAUAAGACUGGGAUAACUUCGGGAAACCGGAGCUAAUACCGGAUAACAUGUUGAACCGCAUGGUUCAACAGUGAAAGACGGUCUUGCUGUCACUUAUAGAUGGAUCCGCGUCGCAUUAGCUAGUUGGUAAGGUAACGGCUUACCAAGGCAACGAUGCGUAGCCGACCUGAGAGGGUGAUCAGCCACACUGGAACUGAGACACGGUCCAGACUCCUACGGGAGGCAGCAGUAGGGAAUCUUCCGCAAUGGGCGAAAGCCUGACGGAGCAACGCCGCGUGAGUGAAGAAGGUCUUCGGAUCGUAAAACUCUGUUAUUAGGGAAGAACAAAUGUGUAAGUAACUAUGCACGUCUUGACGGUACCUAAUCAGAAAGCCACGGCUAACUACGUG
rnacentral:rRNA from 1 species